GCGACCUCACGGAGGGCGGUGGGAGCGCGGGAGAUAUGGCGUCGCCGGCGCCGUCCUGGAGCCGCCUGGACCCACAGCAAGAGCGCGACGUGCGCGAGCUCGUCCGCCGGGUGGCGGGCAUCCAGGACGAGGCGGACCCCAAUUUCCAGCUCGCCCUGCACUUCGCCUGGUCCAACUUCAGAUUUCAUCGUUUCCUGGAUGUCAACAGCCAUAAAGUAGAAAAGACAAUAGAAGGAAUUUAUGAAAAAUUCAUCAUUCAUUCUGAUCUCAGCAAAGCUGCUAGUUGGAAGAGAUUAACUGAGGAAUUUCUAAAUGCGUCACUUCCAAGCAUAAAGGAAGUAAAGACAGAUGCACAUUAUUCCAUCCUGUCCCUUCUUCUGUGUCUGUCUGAUUCGCCUUCAAACAGCAAUUAUGUGGAAACACCAAGAGAAAAAGAAGUGGAGAAGAAAGAUGAUUUUGACUGGGGAAAAUACUUGAUGGAAGGUGAAGAAGUUGACCUUGGUCCAAGUGUAGACACACCGAAUUGGUCUGAAGACAGUGAAGAUGAGAAUGAACAGCAGCCCUUAAGCAGAGAGGACUCUGGGAUUCAGGUGGACAGGACGCCCUUAGAAGAGCAAGACCAAAGCAGAAAGCCAGCGCCUCGCAUCAGCUGGAAAGUAGACGAGCCAGAUGCCCGGAGCUGGCUGGAGCAGAACGUGGUCCGUCAGUACUGGACAGCCAGGUCCUCAAGGUUUCCUCAUAGUUUACAUUUGCACUCCAAUCUAGCUGCUGUCUGGGAUCAACACUUGUACAGCAGUGAUCCAUUAUAUGUUCCAGAUGACAGAGUUUUUGUUACUGAAACGCAAGUUAUUCGGGAAACCCUAUGGUUACUAUCAGGGGUAAAAAAGCUCUUCAUAUUUCAGGUGAUAGAUGGGAAGGUGACUGUGAGAAACAAUAUUAUAGUAACUCAUUUGACACAUAGUUGUUUACGGUCAGUGUUAGAACAGAUAGCAGCGUAUGGCCAGGUUGUGUUUCGACUCCAGGAGUUCAUUGAUGAAGUCAUGGGGCAUAGCUCCGAGGGCGUGUUACCUGGGAAUGGCUCCGCUGCGAAGAAGCCGACUGAGGCGCCCUUUAGAACAUACCAGGCUUUCAUGUGGGCGCUGUACAAGUACUUCAUUAGUUUCAAAGAGGAACUCACGGAAAUUGAGAAGUGCAUCAUCAGUAACGAUACUACAAUAACUCUUGCCAUAGUGGUGGAUAAGCUGUCACCUCGACUGGCUCAGCUCAAGGUUCUGCACAAAGUGUUUAGCACUGGAGUAGCAGAAGUUCCACCUGACACUCGGAAUGUCGUCCGGGCAUCUCACCUGCUCAACACGCUGUACAAAGCCAUCCUUGAAUAUGACAACGUUGGAGAAGCCUCUGAGCAGACCGUGUCCUUGCUGUUCUCGCUCUGGGUGGAGACGGUGCGGCCCUACCUGCAGACUGUGGACGAGUGGAUUGCGCACGGGCAGCUGUGUGACUGCGCCAAGGAGUUCAUCAUCCAGAGAAACAAAAAUGUUCCGGUAAAUCAUAGAGACUUUUGGUAUGCAACUUACACGCUGUACAGUGUAUCAGAAAAGACAGAAAAUGAAGAAAAAAUGAGUGACAACGCCAGCGCGAGCUCCGGCAGUGACCAGGGGCCCUCCAGCAGGCAGCACACCAUGGUGUCCUUCCUGAAGCCUGUCCUCAAGCAGAUCAUCAUGGCCGGCAAGUCGAUGCAGCUGCUGAAGAACCUGCAGUGCGCGGACAGCACUGCGUGCCAGGCCACGGCCAGAGAUGCAGAAAGAAAAAGCCUCUAUACGCUCUUUCUGGAGUCUGUACAGUCUCGUCUUCGGCAUGGAGAAGCGCCCACCGCCCAGGCCCUCCCUGAGCCACAGACCCCCAGAGAGGCCCUCGUGAAGAUGCAGUCCAUCGCCGAAAGGCACCUGGAGCUGGAUGACGUUCAUGACCCACUGCUGGCGAUUAAUUUUGCAAGGUUGUAUUUGGAACAGAGUGACUUUUACGAGAAGUUUGCUGGUGGAGACAUAUGUGUGGAUAGAUCAUCAGAAUCUGUGACUUGCCAGACUUUUGAAUUAACGCUGAGAUCUUGCCUGUACCCUCAUAUUGACAAGCAGUAUCUAGAUUGCUGUGGAAACCUCAUGCGAACUCUAAAAAAGGAUUACAGGUUGGUUGAGUACUUGCAGGCCAUGAGAAACUUUUUCUUGAUGGAAGGAGGAGAUACCAUGUAUGACUUCUACACAUCAAUUUUUGAUAAAAUCAGAGAAAAGGAAACCUGGCAGAAUGUGUCUUUUCUUAACGUCCAGCUCCAGGAAGCAGUAGGACAACGUUAUCCUGAAGACAGUUCUCGGUCGUCAGAAUCCCGUAUUUCAAGUCUGUCUAUCUCUUUUGAAAAUGUUGACACAGCUAAGAAGAAACUGCCUGUUCAUAUCUUAGAUGGUCUGACCCUGAGCUACAAGGUCCCAUGGCCUGUGGACAUUGUUAUAAGUUUGGAAUGUCAAAAAAUUUAUAAUCAGGUGUUCCUUCUCUUACUGCAGAUUAAGUGGGCAAAAUAUAGUCUGGAUGUUUUACUAUUUGGUGAGCUAGCUAGUCCUGCUGAAAAGCCACAGCUUAAAGAAGGGCUUUCCUGUGAUCAAGACACAGCUGCUCAGUUUGGACCACAGAAGAAGCCAGUAAGACAGCAGAUACAUCGCAUGUUCCUCUUAAGAGUGAAGCUCAUGCACUUUGUGAACAGCUUGCACAACUACAUCAUGACCAGGAUUCUUCACAGCACAGGGCUGGAGUUUCAACAUCAAGUUGAGGAAGCCAAGGAUCUAGAUCAACUGAUUAAAAUUCACUAUAGAUACUUGUCAACCAUCCAUGAUCGAUGUCUGCUCAGAGAAAAGGUCAGCUUUGUGAAGGAAGCCAUCAUGAAGGUGUUGAACUUGGCCCUCAUGUUUGCAGAUGGUUGGCAGGCCGGCCUGGGGGCGUGGCAGUAAGUACGAAGCUCCUGCAAACUCUGUGCUGUGACCGUGUCCCCUUCCCUUCUUCCUCUGGGAGCCUUGUUUUUCAUCCAGACAACAGAUCACGUCCACUUAUACUUUUAAAAAAAGAAUCAAAGAAUUGGCUUUGUUCAUCUAAACUAGGCAGCAUCAAGACUUGUGCAAUUCUUUUAUGAAUGGUGAAACAAUAAGAAAAAUCUGAAGUCUUUGAUUGGGACAAGCAAAUAUCCGUAAAUUACAUUCAUGUUUUGCCAUAUAGGUUUUGUUAAGUUUUUGUCACGGAUGCCGUCAGACAUGCAGAAGUGAGGGCGGGGGGCGUAACAGACCCUGGGACCAUUACUCCCCUCGAGCAGGUGCCAGUGACCGCCGGGUCUGUAUUGUGUCUACUGCCCACCCCCGUGUGCUCAGUUAUUUUAAACCAAGUUCUGGACACCAUGCUAGAUUAUAGUCCAAAGUUGUAUCUUAAAGAGCUCUAAAAGACUGUAUGUUUUACUUCUAGGGUGUUUAUUAUUCACACCCAUCGCAUAGAAAGGCAGAGGACAGUUGAGGGCCCAGGAGCAAUUCCGUCCCGUCCUGCACACCGUCCCCUGCUGUUCCUUGGACAUGCAGCCAGCAGCUCGCCCCUGUCUGGCUUAGAAACUUGGUGCGAUGCUGCUCUUGCCCCUGAAGUAAAAGUGCGAGUCUGGCUGACCAGGCUGUCGGGGUAACAGCUUGUACUUAGUUGGUGUUGAAUGGAAUCUAUUGAGAAAAUGGAGUCUGAUUUUAAAAACUGCCACAUGUUUCUUGUAACCAUUUUAAACAAAGCUGUCUGUAGAGGAUCCUUUCCCCAUCUGGAGUCUCUAGCACUGUCGCUCAUGGCUGG